UACGUAGGGUGCGAGCGUUGUCCGGAAUUAUUGGGCGUAAAGGGCUCGUAGGCGGUUUGUCGCGUCGGGAGUGAAAACCCAGGGCUUAACCCUGGGCUGGCUUUCGAUACGGGCAGACUAGAGGUAUGCAGGGGAGAACGGAAUUCCUGGUGUAGCGGUGAAAUGCGUAGAGAUGUGGAGGAACACCAGUGGCGAAGGCGACUCUUUGGCCUGUAACUGACGCUGAGGCGCGAAGGCGUGGGGAGCGAACGGG
rnacentral:rRNA from 1 species